AGCCGCCGCCGUAAUACGGAGGAUCCAAGCGUUAUCCGGAUUCAUUGGGUUUAAAGGGUCCGUAGGCGGAUUUUUAAGUCAGUGGUGAAAGCCGGCAGCUCAACUGUCGAACUGCCAUUGAUACUGGAAAUCUUGAGUACAAAUGAAGUAGGCGGAAUGAGUCAUGUAGCGGUGAAAUGCAUAGAUAUGACUCAGAACACCGAUUGCGAAGGCAGCUUACUAACAUGUAACUGACGCUGAGGGACGAAAGCGUGGGGAGCGAACAGGAUUAGAUACCCUGGUAGUCCACGCCGUAAACGAUCAUCACUCGCUGUUGGCGAUAUACUGUCAGCGGCCAAGCGAAAGUAUUAAGUGAUGCACCUGGGGAGUACGCCGGCAACGGUGAAACUCAAAGGAAUUGACG
rnacentral:rRNA from 2 species